GCUAACAUAUGUUGAAGGGUUGGGGUCCAGGUUUACAGGGAGCAAAGGCAAUCAUCCCAAGUGAUAGCACGUCAUGAUCCAUUGGUGGCAUGACCUCCCUCCUAAUGCCUUCCAAAGAAGCUCUCCCUCCAUUAGCCCCUAGUUUGUCAUAUAUGAACUCGUCGGCGCUCCUCUCUGGCACUUUCUUUCAAAAAAGUUGUUUUUAAAGUACAGGAAAAUUUUUCCUGUUAUCUUUGUUGCAAACACUUUUUUGCUGAAUUAUGGUACUGGUUAAUGUUUGUGUUGCAUUUAUGGGAAAAUGUUUACUUUAUGGUGACAUUUUUUUAGGGAGGUGUGGUGAUGAGGAGGGGAAGAGAUAUUACUUUUGUGCUGCUUUGUGCUGAAUUUUGUGGUGUAAAGUUAGUUUUGUGUUAAAUUUGUGGAUAAAAAAAGAUACUUUUGUACUGAACUUAUGGUGACAAGUUAAGCCCCGACGACAACUUCUAGCUCAAACCCUAGGCAGUGCUGCCAAAUCAAGCAGUCUCCUAGCUAGCUCCACUGCAUUGGAUUUAGUGCUUGGUAGUUAUAGUGCCACAUCAAAUUUUGGUUCUACCCCACUAUCCUCCAUCUUUGACUAGUCUUGUGCAGGCCCUUGUUAGAAAAUUAGCUCUCACAGUGACGAGCCACCCGCUAAUCUCCACCAGCGGAAGCGUUGAUUGGAUCUACCAAGACGAACAUGAAAGAUCACAAAUGACACCGGAGAUACGAUCUUUGUUGACGAGGUUCAACCGAAGUCUACAUCCCC
rnacentral:lncRNA from 1 species